rnacentral:tRNA from 1 species
UAUAUUUUAGUGUAUAAUGAAWAAUAAUUUUUGAUAUUGUUAGAUAUAGUUUAAUUUUAUAAAAUAUAW